ACGAAUCGGAUCCAAAACGCUAAACCGUGAACUGUUAGCGGAACAACGACAGGAUUAACGAUAUGUUAAAUCGAGAUUUAACGACUCGCUAAACCAGAAACUAAAUGACUUUAACGUAAAACCAAUCUACGUGUACGAAAUUAAAGUCCGCACUGUAGAUCAAUCUCACGCUAGCUAAUAGAUUAGAAAAUCUAAGCAAUUAAAGGGUAGAUCAAAAAUAGAUUGAUUCGCAUGAGUAGAAGGUACGUGAACCUGAGAUUUGGUGGAGAGAUCAUCGACGGAUUGCGGCUGUUCCUCGCUGUUUGGCUAGAAGACCUAAACAAUUAAACGGUAGAUCAAUUUAGAUUGAUUCGCAAGAAUAAAAUAUAUGCGAACCUGAGAUUUGGUGGAAUGAAACCGGCAGACAGCUGCACUGCUGCAAAUAGGGAUGUAGCAGGGUUGCUAGCGGCCUGCUGCGUAGCUGCUGGAUAGGGGCAGCACAGCUGUAUUGGAGGCGCAAGAGGCGGCUGGAGGUGCACGGGAGAGAGAGACGGGGAAAAGAGGCAAGGCUGUGCGGGUAUUUAUAGGGGGAAGCUAGAGAUAAAUCUAGUUUUCCAUCUCCUAUAAAAAGGGAAUAGAUAAAGUUUCAAAGGGAUAAAAAUUAGAGUCCUAAUUGAUUGUAAUUGUUUUCACGUGAGAAAUGUGGAGAUAGGGACUCACGGCUGUUGAGGG
rnacentral:lncRNA from 1 species